UACGUAGGGAGCAAGCGUUAUCCGAAUUUAUUGGGUGUAAAGCGUGUGUAGGCGGUUUAUUAAGUUCAAGGUUUAAUUCCGAAGCUUAACUUCGGAUCGCCUUGAAAACUGAUUUACUUGAGUGUGGUAGAGGCAAAUGGAAUUUCUAGUGUAGCGGUAAAAUGCUUAGAUAUUAGAAGGAACACCAGUGGCGAAGGCGAUUUGCUGGGCCAUUACUGACGCUGAGGCACGAAAGCGUGGGGAGCAAAUA
rnacentral:rRNA from 1 species